GACGAACGCUGGCGGCGUGCUUAACACAUGCAAGUCGAACGAGGCUCCACCUUCGGGUGGUGUUCUAGUGGCGAACGGGUGAGUAACACGUGGGCAACCUGCCCUCAGCUCUGGGAUAACUCCGGGAAACCGGGGCUAAUACCGGAUAUGACCACCGUGGGCAUCUGUGGUGGUGGAAAGUUUUUCGGCUGAGGAUGGGCCCGCGGCCUAUCAGCUUGUUGGUGGGGUGAUGGCCCACCAAGGCGACGACGGGUGGCCGGCCUGAGAGGGUGACCGGCCACACGGGGACGGAGACACGGCCCAUACUCCUACGGGAGGCAGCAGGGGGGAAUAUUGCGCAAUGGGCGGAAGCCUGACGCAGCGACGCCGCGUGAGGGACGACGGCCUUCGGGUUGUAAACCUCUUUCAGCAGGGACGAAGCGAGAGUGACGGUACCUGCAGAAGAAGCACCGGCCAACUACGUGCCAGCCGCCGCCGUAA
rnacentral:rRNA from 1 species